CCGAGUUCUCGGGCUUCGGCCCGAAUCUCCCACCCUUUGUGAACAUACCUCUGUUGCUUUGGCGGCUCUUGCCGCGUGGAGGCCCUCAAAAGCCCCCCCGCGCGCUUCCGCCAGAGGACCUUCAAACUCCAGUCAGUAAACGUCGACGUCUGAAAAACAAGUUAAUAAACUA
rnacentral:misc_RNA from 1 species